AAUGAACGUUGGCGGCGUGGAUUAGGCAUGCAAGUCGAGCGGAAAGGCCCGCAAGGGCACUCGAGCGGCGUAAGGGACAGUAAUGUGUAGGUAACGUACCCCUGGGUCUAGGAUAGCUGCGGGAAACUGCAAUUAAUACUAGAUAACGUCUCCGGACCAAAGGUGUGAUUCCACCUGGGGAGCGGCCUACAUCCUAUUAGCUAGUUGGCGAGGUAAUGGCUCACCAAGGCGAAGAUGGGUAGCAGGUGUGAGAGCACGACCUGCGUCACUGGGACUGAGACACUGCCCAGACACCUACGGGUGGCUGCAGUCGAGAAUCUUCGGCAAUGGGCGAAAGCCUGACCGAGCGACGCCGCGUGUGGGAUGAAGGCCUUCGGGUUGUAAACCACUGUCGGAGGGGAUGAAGUGUUAGUGGGCUCUCCCAUUAGCUUGACUGAUCCUCGGAGGAAGGGUGGGCUAAGUUCGUGCCAGCCGCCGCCGUAAGAC
rnacentral:rRNA from 1 species